rnacentral:rRNA from 1 species
AUUGAACGCUGGCGGCAGGCCUAACACAUGCAAGUCGAACGAGUGGCGGACGGGUGAGUAAUGUCUGGGAAACUGCCAGAUGGAGGGGGAGAACUACUGGAAACGGUAGCGAAUACCACAUACCAUAGGAUGUGCCCAGAUGGGUUUAGCUAGUAGGUGGGGUAACGGCGCACCCAGGCGACGAUCACUAGCUGGUCUGAGAGGAGGAUCAGCCACACUGGAGCUGCGGAACAGUCCAGACUCCUCCGGGAGGCAGCAGUGGGGGAUAUUGCACAAUGGGGGCCGGCCGGAUGCAGCCAUGCCGCGUGUAUGAAGAAGGCCUUCGUGUUGUAAUGUACUUUCAGCGAGGAGGCGUUACUCGCAGAAGAAGCACCGGCUAACUCCGUGCCAGCAGCCGCGGUAAUUCCUG